GACGAGGGGUCCUAGCGUUGUUCGGAAUCAUUGGGCGUAAAGCGUGUGUAGGCGGCCUUGCAAGUCAGUUGUGAAAGCCCCGGGCUCAACCCGGGAAGUGCUUCUGAUACUGCAGGGCUUGAGUACUGGAGAGGAUAGCGGAAUUCCAGGUGUAGUGGUGAAAUACGUAGAUAUCUGGAGGAACACCGGUGGCGAAGGCGGCUAUCUGGCCAUGUACUGACGCUGAGACACGAAAGCAUGGGGAGCAAACAGG
rnacentral:rRNA from 1 species